AGCGAACGCUGGCGGCAGGCCUAACACAUGCAAGUCGAACGAACCCUUCGGGGUUAGUGGCGGACGGGUGAGUAACACGUGGGAACGUGCCUUUAGGUUCGGAAUAACUCAGGGAAACUUGUGCUAAUACCGAAUGUGCCCUUCGGGGGAAAGAUUUAUCGCCUUUAGAGCGGCCCGCGUCUGAUUAGCUAGUUGGUGAGGUAAUGGCUCACCAAGGCUACGAUCAGUAGCUGGUCUGAGAGGAUGACCAGCCACAUUGGGACUGAGACACGGCCCAAACGCCUACGGGAGGCAGCCGUGUGGAAUCUUGCGCAAUGGGCGAAAGCCUGACGCAGCCAUGCCGCGUGGAUGAUGAAGGUCUUAGGAUUGUAAAAUCCUUUCACCGGUGAAGAUAAUGACUGUAGCCGGAGAAGAAGCCCCGGCUAACUUCGUGCCAGCAGCCGCAGUAAAAC
rnacentral:rRNA from 1 species